GGGUUGUGAGGUUAAGCGACUAAGCGUACACGGUGGAUGCCCUGGCAGUCAGAGGCGAUGAAGGACGUGCUAAUCUGCGAUAAGCGUCGGUAAGGUGAUAUGAACCGUUAUAACCGGCGAUUUCCGAAUGGGGAAACCCAGUGUGAUUCGUCACACUAUCAUUAACUGAAUCCAUAGGUUAAUGAGGCGAACCGGGGGAACUGAAACAUCUAAGUACCCCGAGGAAAAGAAAUCAACCGAGAUUCCCCCAGUAGCGGCGAGCGAACGGGGAGCAGCCCAGAGCCUGAAUCAGUGUGUGUGUUAGUGGAAGCGUCUGGAAAGGCGCGCGAUACAGGGUGACAGCCCCGUACACAAAAAUGCACAUACUGUGAGCUCGAUGAGUAGGGCGGGACACGUGGUAUCCUGUCUGAAUAUGGGGGGACCAUCCUCCAAGGCUAAAUACUCCUGACUGACCGAUAGUGAACCAGUACCGUGAGGGAAAGGCGAAAAGAACCCCGGCGAGGGGAGUGAAAAAGAACCUGAAACCGUGUACGUACAAGCAGUGGGAGCACAGAGCAAUCUGUGUGACUGCGUACCUUUUGUAUAAUGGGUCAGCGACUUAUAUUCUGUAGCAAGGUUAACCGAAUAGGGGAGCCGAAGGGAAACCGAGUCUUAACUGGGCGUUAAGUUGCAGGGUAUAGACCCGAAACCCGGUGAUCUAGCCAUGGGCAGGUUGAAGGUUGGGUAACACUAACUGGAGGACCGAACCGACUAAUGUUGAAAAAUUAGCGGAUGACUUGUGGCUGGGGGUGAAAGGCCAAUCAAACCGGGAGAUAGCUGGUUCUCCCCGAAAGCUAUUUAGGUAGCGCCUCGUGAAUUCAUCUCCGGGGGUAGAGCACUGUUUCGGCAAGGGGGUCAUCCCGACUUACCAACCCGAUGCAAACUGCGAAUACCGGAGAAUGUUAUCACGGGAGACACACGGCGGGUGCUAACGUCCGUCGUGAAGAGGGAAACAACCCAGACCGCCAGCUAAGGUCCCAAAGUCAUGGUUAAGUGGGAAACGAUGUGGGAAGGCCCAGACAGCCAGGAUGUUGGCUUAGAAGCAGCCAUCAUUUAAAGAAAGCGUAAUAGCUCACUGGUCGAGUCGGCCUGCGCGGAAGAUGUAACGGGGCUAAACCAUGCACCGAAGCUGCGGCAGCGACGCUUAUGCGUUGUUGGGUAGGGGAGCGUUCUGUAAGCCUGCGAAGGUGUGCUGUGAGGCAUGCUGGAGGUAUCAGAAGUGCGAAUGCUGACAUAAGUAACGAUAAAGCGGGUGAAAAGCCCGCUCGCCGGAAGACCAAGGGUUCCUGUCCAACGUUAAUCGGGGCAGGGUGAGUCGACCCCUAAGGCGAGGCCGAAAGGCGUAGUCGAUGGGAAACAGGUUAAUAUUCCUGUACUUGGUGUUACUGCGAAGGGGGGACGGAGAAGGCUAUGUUGGCCGGGCGACGGUUGUCCCGGUUUAAGCGUGUAGGCUGGUUUUCCAGGCAAAUCCGGAAAAUCAAGGCUGAGGCGUGAUGACGAGGCACUACGGUGCUGAAGCAACAAAUGCCCUGCUUCCAGGAAAAGCCUCUAAGCAUCAGGUAACAUCAAAUCGUACCCCAAACCGACACAGGUGGUCAGGUAGAGAAUACCAAGGCGCUUGAGAGAACUCGGGUGAAGGAACUAGGCAAAAUGGUGCCGUAACUUCGGGAGAAGGCACGCUGAUAUGUAGGUGAAGUCCCUCGCGGAUGGAGCUGAAAUCAGUCGAAGAUACCAGCUGGCUGCAACUGUUUAUUAAAAACACAGCACUGUGCAAACACGAAAGUGGACGUAUACGGUGUGACGCCUGCCCGGUGCCGGAAGGUUAAUUGAUGGGGUCAGCGCAAGCGAAGCUCUUGAUCGAAGCCCCGGUAAACGGCGGCCGUAACUAUAACGGUCCUAAGGUAGCGAAAUUCCUUGUCGGGUAAGUUCCGACCUGCACGAAUGGCGUAAUGAUGGCCAGGCUGUCUCCACCCGAGACUCAGUGAAAUUGAACUCGCUGUGAAGAUGCAGUGUACCCGCGGCAAGACGGAAAGACCCCGUGAACCUUUACUAUAGCUUGACACUGAACAUUGAGCCUUGAUGUGUAGGAUAGGUGGGAGGCUUUGAAGUGUGGACGCCAGUCUGCAUGGAGCCGACCUUGAAAUACCACCCUUUAAUGUUUGAUGUUCUAACGUUGACCCGUAAUCCGGGUUGCGGACAGUGUCUGGUGGGUAGUUUGACUGGGGCGGUCUCCUCCUAAAGAGUAACGGAGGAGCACGAAGGUUGGCUAAUCCUGGUCGGACAUCAGGAGGUUAGUGCAAUGGCAUAAGCCAGCUUGACUGCGAGCGUGACGGCGCGAGCAGGUGCGAAAGCAGGUCAUAGUGAUCCGGUGGUUCUGAAUGGAAGGGCCAUCGCUCAACGGAUAAAAGGUACUCCGGGGAUAACAGGCUGAUACCGCCCAAGAGUUCAUAUCGACGGCGGUGUUUGGCACCUCGAUGUCGGCUCAUCACAUCCUGGGGCUGAAGUAGGUCCCAAGGGUAUGGCUGUUCGCCAUUUAAAGUGGUACGCGAGCUGGGUUUAGAACGUCGUGAGACAGUUCGGUCCCUAUCUGCCGUGGGCGCUGGAGAACUGAGGGGGGCUGCUCCUAGUACGAGAGGACCGGAGUGGACGCAUCACUGGUGUUCGGGUUGUCAUGCCAAUGGCACUGCCCGGUAGCUAAAUGCGGAAGAGAUAAGUGCUGAAAGCAUCUAAGCACGAAACUUGCCCCGAGAUGAGUUCUCCCUGACCCUUUAAGGGUCCUGAAGGAACGUUGAAGACGACGACGUUGAUAGGCCGGAUGUGUAAGCGCAGCGAUGCGUUGAGCUAACCGGUACUAAUGAACCGUGAGGCUUAACCUUACAACGCCGAAGGUGUUU
rnacentral:rRNA from 1 species